rnacentral:rRNA from 1 species
UAGGGAAUCUUCCGCAAUGGACGAAAGUCUGACGGAGCAACGCCGCGUGAGUGAUGAAGGUUUUCGGAUCGUAAAGCUCUGUUGCCAGGGAAGAACGCUUGUGAGAGUAACUGCUCACAAGGUGACGGUACCUGAGAAGAAAGCCCCGGCUAACUACGUGCCAGCAGCCGCGGUAAUACGUAGGGGGCAAGCGUUGUCCGGAAUUAUUGGGCGUAAAGCGCGCGCAGGCGGUCUAUUAAGUCUGGUGUUUAAGGCUGUGGCUCAACCACAGUUCGCACUGGAAACUGGUAGACUUGAGUGUAAGAGAGGAAAGUGGAAUUCCACGUGUAGCGGUGAAAUGCGUAGAGAUGUGGAGGAACACCAGUGGCGAAGGCGACUUUCUGGCUUAUAACUGACGCUGAGGCGCGAAAGCGUGGGGAGCAAACAG